GAAAAAGCAAGCCACAAACUGGGAGAAAUUAUUUACAGAACAUAUAUCCAACAAAGCAAUUGUGCAUAGAAUAAACAAAACUCUUACAACUCAAUAAUGAAAAGACAAACCACCCAAUAAAAAAAAGGUAAAAGAUUUGAAUGGAUAAUUCACCAAAGAAGAUAUAUGAAUAUCUAAUAAGCAUUCAAAAAGCUACUCAACAUCAUUGAUGCAAUUCGUUGUAUGUCAACUAUAAUUCAAAAAAAUGUGAAAAAUAAAAUUAAUUGAUCACCUUUGGGAGUUGUAAGGGCAUCAACUCAUCAUUCUAAAAAUUAGUAGAAAACAAAAAAAGUCAAGCAACAUUGUCCAGGCUUUUCUAUGUGAAUUGUGCUUUAGGAAAACCAAAUAGUCAAUGGAAUAAUAGAAUUAGAAAACCACUAUUGUGUAAUCCUUAAUAAAAUAACAAAUCUAACAAAGAGCCUCAAUGGCUGCUAAAACCAUCAGGUUAGAGGCUGAUGUGGAAUUUCAUAACGGAUGUAUUAGGCUGACCACAUCUGAAAUCACCAGUGAAAUGAAUAUCACUAAAUGUGGAACAACCAGACACAUACUUCCUCUUGUGAUGCAAUGGUACAUAGUACCACCGAUAAUAUAUUUUUGGGAAAAAAAACUUUUAAUCUGAAUUUUAUCAAGUUUCUAGAUCUAAUUGUCAGAGGGGAUUGAAGAACAUGUUAAAGGAUGCCUUGAGGAUGCAAUUAGCUAAAUUAUGUGGGAAAUUCUACAGAUCAACAAAUAAAUAUCAUAAAAAGGAGUUGGGAAAAAGGGAACGGGUACAAAUUAAAAAGCAACGAAAGCUGUAUCGAUCAACCGCAAUGUGUGGGCCUUGUCUGGAUCUGGAUUCAAACAAACCAACUGUAAAAAUACCUUUCAGAGGUAAGUGUGGAAAUUUGAGUACAGACUAGAUAUUAGAUGAUGCAGAGGCAAUGUUAUUAAUCUUUUUAAGUGUAAUGAUGCAUGGUUAUGCUUUUUUAAAAAGUAGUUACCUGUUGGGUAUACAUACUGAAGUAUUUACAAGUUAGGUUAAACUAUAUCUGGAACUUCCUUUAAAAUAUUCCAGUGAUGGCGCAGGGGUAGGGGAGAAUGCUGUGGGAAUGAUAUCGAUGAAACAAUGUUGACAAUUCUUGAAAAUCGUGAUGGAUGGAUACAUGGGGGUUAAAUAUACUAUUUUCUCUACUUUGGGGUACGUUUGAAAUUUUCCAUAAUACAGAACUGGGGUUUUGUUUGCUGAAUUUUAAGUGGGCUGUGUUCUGACCUGCCAGAGCUCAAUAGGAGUAUUCCCUCCCUUUAACCACCUAGAGGCCAAGCGCUCAAUAUCUGCGGGGCGCGCAUGCGAGAAAUGAGUCAGAUUAAGAAAACAGCAAAGCAAGCUGGUGAAGCAGUUGCAGCGGGCACCCGCCUCUGUGUUGGGGAUUAACGGAGAGUUGUGGAACAGAAGAUCACAUGCCCAUCCAAACAGGGUAGCCAAUGUUGCCAUGUGGGAAUAAGGGCCCCAGAGGACCAAAUCUUCUAAUUUUUCAUUAGAAACUUGAAAUCUGGGCAUUUCAGUAAAAUCUCCCCAUAUGUGGGCAAAUGAUUACACAUUUUUCACACACUUUGCAAGUCAGUGCUAGAAAGCUAAACAAAACCUGUCUAGAGGCUAGAUUUGUUCCACAGACUGCUGUGUUGUGAUCCCUGACACUACACCAUGUAAUGCAUUUUAUAGUAAUGCAUUAAUAAUUGGUUGACAUUCCUAGCAAUUGGGUCAUAUGGCUGGACAACUGAGGUUGCAUCCAUCUGAAGUCCCCAAACCCUUUACAAGCAAACAGCUGUCAAGCCAGGCAUCCCCCACACUGAACUCUGAACUGAACACAGGCUCACAAUCAUCUCUAUCAAAUUGCAUCUUGUCAUGUGUCACAAACACUUGUCUCUGGAUUGACUCUACUCUUCCUCCAAAUUCUACUGAAUCUGCACUCCCUUCUGGCUUUGUAUCACACAGUGUUCACAGCCUUUCUUCAUCCACGCCAUCUACAAAGCUAACAUCCACCUGGGGUGUCAGACUUCUCUCCUGCCAGGUAUCUGCAGCUACUCAGCUAUAACUUCACCCAUCCUUCCAAGUUCGUCCACCUCAUGUUUACCCACCUUCCUCCUUGAAGCCACUAUACAUUAUAGACAGGCCUAAUCCACGAAUCUUGUGGUGACAAUAAUGCCACCUUACAUCUGUAUGGUACUUUAUGGUUUUUAAAACAUUUUUCAAAAAUUUUCUGACUUGAUCUUUAUCACCCAUCACAACCUUAAAAAAAUCCUAUCAAUAUCACAUUGUUAAAAUCUGCCAGUAGUCUGUUUGUUUAUUUGUAACUCACUAAUAAUUUCCUAGCUGGGGAUUUCUAGAUUAUGUAGACAAAGGGCAACUAAGUUAGCUUCCUUCCUUCCUAUCUCACCAUCCCACAAGAAAAAUAGUUCUCCAAACCACCACCAUUCCAGCAACAGCCAACAGGGACAGAAACAAGAUUGAAGAGGAAGAAUGUUCUAACUGUGAGAGUUGACAGAAAAUGGAAUGGUUUGCCUUGUGAAGAAAUGAGGUUUUGAUGCUGGAAGUUUUCAACUAGGAGCUGGGGUUUUGUAGAAGGGAUUCCAACGUGGAUAGGCAGUUGGGCAGAUGAUCUCUCAUUCAUUUGUUUCCAUCCAUGUGGGGAAGCUGCUCUGUGCUCAGCUCUCAGGAGUACCUGACCAGUUCUUGUAGUGAGCAGACUCUGAAGGGCAGAAGCCUACACUUGGUGAGGUUUUAUUGCUUUGUACAUUUUAAAAUUAAUUCCCUUUUUAAAAGCAGUUCUCAGCAAAUUUUCUUUUAAAAAUGCCAAACUUUUCUCCAUUGUUCAAGAAGAGAGAGAAUCCAUACAAUGGAAUAUGGUUCAGCCAUAAAAAGAAACGAAGUACUGAUACCAGGUAGGAUAUGGGUGAAUCUUGAAAACUCAAAGACGCCAGUCACAAAAGACCACGUAUUAUAUGAUUCCAUUCAUAUGAAAGUCCAGAAUAGGGAAAUGUAUAGAGACAGAAAGUAGAUUAGUGGUUACUUAGGGCUGGGGUGGGGGGCCAGAGGGGUGAUAGCUAAAUGAUACAGGGUUUGUUACUGAGGUGAUAAAAAUGCUCUAACAGUGACUGUGGUGAUGGUUGCGCGUAUCUGUGGAUAUGCUAAACUCCAUUGAAUUGUACACUUUACAUGGGCUAAUUGUAUGGUAUGUGAAUUAUAUCUCAAUAAAGCUGUUUUUUUUUUUUAAUUAAGCGAACUUUUAAAAAAUUGGAUAGAUUUUUGUUCCAGGCUUUGGCUAGAUUUCUAAAGGGAGUUCUCCCUGCUGAGGAUAAGCCUGUGCGAGAGGCUCUGGUCGGGGGAGGAACUGGCCGCCAGGUUAGGGGAGGGGGGUGGAGUUUCUCACAUUUCAGUCGCCUUGAGGCCCCCCCAUUCUGAAUCCGGGGCUGGGGUUAGUAGCCAAGGGGACAGACAAGGCUCCACCCUCAGCCCACUUUCUCUGAGCUUUCUAGGUCUUGCUUCUCACCACUCCUGGUAGUAUUUCCACCCCAGGUUUUAACUACUAGCACUUCCAUAAAAACAGCUGAAACCACUCUUUUGGGAGAACGCGCCCGGGAGGCCUCUCACCCCAACUAAACUGGUUCCCUGCUUCGUCCACACCUCCUGGGGAUGUGAUGCACCCCCUCAUCCUUGUCAACGCAGCCCCCGCGUCUCCGAGGGGUGUUCCUGUGCUGGCUUCAAAAACCAGCUGGCCACACGGGGGGAGGGAGAUUUUCUGGCCCCGGGAGGUCUUCUGAACCUGGGAUUUGAGGCAUGCAUGAAACGACACCCGCCACUCGAACAUCACUAGAAGACGUCUGCUCUCCGUUUUGCCAGCGAAUUCCACCACUCCAGACUGACACCGGGAGAAGAGGCGCGAAAUGGGGAGGGGAAACGCCCUAGGCAAUUUCUCAAACUCUGCAAAUCCGCCCAGGGAGGCCCGGGUGUCUGGGUAUGGGAGAAGGGGGUCUAGGGGUCUCUGCAGAUCUGAGGGAGGGGGUAAUGACUAGUUAUUACUAGUUUAGGAAGGGAGCGGCUGCUGCACUAGCGCCCCCGCGCCGGGCCUCGGGCCCCAAAUCCCGCGAGUGGUCGCCCAGCUCGGGCCCCGCCACCCAGCGCGCGCCGCGCUGCACCCUGCCCUGGGCAAGGGGCAGCGACCGGGAACCCGGGCCUGGUCGCGGCGCCAGGAGCUCGGACACGCCCGGUGUUUUCGAUUUCGAUGCCCAAGCAGGGCCCCAUCACCGCUGCAGCGUCUUGGGACCUCCCGUCCGCAUCCCCGGGACUGGGUGUCGUUAAAGGAAACGCCUAGGAGGAGAACUAGGAGGGAGCAGUAGGCAAACGUCCGGGUUCGACCGGCUGGAUGGUGCGAGAGAGCAACAAGUCGCUUGGAAAGUGGGUAAGAGGCUCCACUGCGAGCUGCUUCCUGCCUGCGGCGGAGCGGGACGUGCGCGCAGAGAACUCAGAGACAGGAACUGAGAAGGCUAAAGAGAGACUAACUCGGUCCCUUGGGCAAGGAGAUAAAAGGAAGGUCCGGUACCCAAAAGGGACGUGCUCCAGGUGAGCGAACUGCGGCAGAGCUGAGGUUACCUAAGUAAGCGGUAGAGCUGGGAGUUCUCCAUGCCCGCCACUCUAUACAGAGUCGAGUGCUCAAUUUGCCACUGGAGAAGGAGACCCUGGAGAAUGCCUGGCAUUUAGACUGUGCCUCUCAUGGGUUACCCUCAAGAGAGGCACUAGUCAGGCUCACUUGCAUGAUGGUGGCCAAAGGGCCUUAACUUGAAACCUGGGAAAGACCGGACAGAACUAGGACCAGGAGGGAGAGGUGAAAACCAGCACCCAGGUAUGGUGGGCACCUGAAUGCCCGAAGCCCUCCCGCUGAGAAGAUGGGGUAGUUCCUGUGUCUCUUAAGGCAAGCGUUGAACCUGAACCUACUGGACCAGGUACAGGAUGGCAGGUCUUAGAGACGAAGCACGGAAAAUGAUGGGGUCUCCCUUUAAGAGGAGGAAGGAAGAGUCUUAACGGAGACAGCCAUGGAACUCUGGGGUUUCAGUGACACUCAGGGCGUUCUUUGGGUCAAAAUUUUAGUGUGAGUAAGACAGGUCACCUUUGAUCAUGUCUCUGUUCAGCCAACAACUGACUGAGUGGCUUCAAUAAUAUUCCUUUGCACGGACACACCACAGUUGAUUUAGUCGUUCUCCUAUUAAUGGACAUCUUGGAUUAUUUCUUGUUUGGAGCUAUUAUAAAUACAACUGCUAAGAGCA